CAUGCAGGUGUAAUGUCUGUUUUGGGUUUUGUUUCAUGUUUUCAUGUCUUUUAUUUUGUAGUUUGAUUUUGCUGUUUGUGUCAUGCUUCCCUUGCCCUCAUGUAUCUCUGCUUUGUGUAUGUGUCAUGUUCUCAUUGGUUAUUGUCUGGUCAUGUGAUUAUCAGUUCUGUUUGUUCUCAUUGGUUCCUCUUGUUCCUUGUGUCAUGUUCCCAUUGGUUUGUUCUUGUCAUGUGACCCUCAUUGUUUGUAUAAGUAGUCAUGUUUUGCCAUUGUGCUUUUGUCGUGUAUUAACGUAACGUAAUGUUGUAACCUGCUGUCGGUGAGUCUAGUCUGUUCAUGCCACGUCAAGUCUGUCGAGUCUGUUCAAGUCAAGUCUUUGUUUUUUGUUUGGAUAUUUGGAUUAUCACUGUAAAUAAACUGCACUUGGGUUCAUCGCUACACUCGCCUUCAGUGGACUGUUUGUUACAGAAUACACCACCCUUAAAAAUGAACCCAGCAGAUCUUCUUGUUCGUCUUCGCCAAGGAAACCGGGCCAUAGAGGAUUACGUGGAGGACUUUUGUGGACUUUAUUAUAAGGUAGACUUUAAGGAUAGCUUCUUGAAAGACAUAUUCCGUUAUGGUUUGGAUAAACAUAUAUCUUGUUUAAUGCCACGUAAUACCCCUCAGUGGACUCUUGAAAAAUAUAUUGACCAUGCUCUUUUGCUGGCGGGUUCACCACUUACUGUGGGGGUUGCUGAGGAGGAACACAGCUAUCCCACAGUACCCGCCACAUCAGAACUUUUCCACGUCCCAACCAUCAUGUCAGGAGUUGUUCAUGUCACGCCAGCCAAGCCAAGGCCUACUCACACCAUGUCUGCCAAGCCACAGCCUGCUCACGUCAUGCCUGCCAAGCCAGCACCUGUUCACGUCAUGCAUGCUACGCCAGAGCCUACUCACAUCAUGCCCAUUUCUCAAGAGAUUCUCCACAACAUGGCCACAAUUCAAGAGCUCCGUCGCAAAAUGGCUGCCACUCAAGAGUCUCUUCGGAAAAUGGCUGCUCUUCUAGAGCCUCGUUACGCCUCAGCCGAACUUCCAGAGCCUCGUCACGCCUCAGCCGAACUUCCAGAGCCUCGUCACGCCUCAGCCAAUCUUCCAGAGCCUCGUCACGUCUCAGCUGAUCUUCCAGAGUCCCGCCACAACAUGGCCGCCAUUCCAGAGUCCCGCCACGACAUGGCUGCCAUGCCUGAGUCUCAUCAAGUCUUGGCAAUCUUGGAGACUGUUCCCGUGGCCUCAGUACUUCUAGUAAUGGCAGUCGCCAUUUUGAGCGUGUGGGCCGCUCACUGCGCUCCAGAGACUUUUCCUGUCCACGAGUCUGUUCCUGAGGCUUUUCCUGACCAGGAAUCCACUCCAGUGCUUCCAGAGGUGGCAGCUUCUGCUGCAGAACCUCCAGAGGAGGCGGGGUCCACUACAGAACCUCCCAAGGUGGUGGCUCCCACAUUCAAGCUCUCUGCCUGCCCUGUCACGACCACAGAGGCUGCUCAUGAACUCACUGCCUGUCCUGUCUCGGCCACGGAGGCUGCCCAAGAACUCACUGUCUGUCCCGUCACGGCCAAGUGGUCUGUCCAUGUCUCUGCUUCACCAUGGCUUCCAGCUCUGCCUGCCCCGCCACGGCUCCCCGCUAGGCCUGCCCCGCCACGGCUCCCCGCUAGGC
ensembl:lncRNA